rnacentral:ribozyme from 1 species
UUCUCUUUCUCUUUCGAGUCAGGUAGUGAACUCUUUCUCUCCUACCGCAUCGGAGGGAAGGAGAGAAGAGUGCUUUCUUCUUCUCUUUCUCUUUCUUCUCUUCCUCU